rnacentral:rRNA from 1 species
GGAAUAUUGCGCAAUGGACGAAAGUCUGACGCAGCGACGCCUCGUGAGGGACGAAGGUCUUCGGAUUGUAAACCUCUUUCAGCAGGGACGAAGCGAAAGUGACGGUACCUGCAGAAGAAGCACCGGCUAACUAUGUGCCAGCAGCCGCGGUAAUACAUAGGGUGCAAGCGUUGUCCGGAUUUAUUGGGCGUAAAGAGUUCGUAGGCGGUUUUUCGCGUCGGAUGUGAAAACUCAGGGCUCAACCCUGAGCCUGCAUUCGAUACGGGAAGACUCGAGGACGGCAGGGGAGACUGGAACUUCUGGUGUAGCGGUGGAAUGCGCAGAUAUCAGAAAGAACACCAAUGGCGAAGGCAGGUCUCUGGGCCGAUCCUGACGCUGAGGAACGAAAGCGUGGGGAGCAAACAGGAUUAGAUACCCUGGUAGUCCACGCCGUAAACUAUGGACGCUAGGUGUGGGGGACAUUCCACGUUCUCUGCGCCGCAGCUAACGCAUUAAGCGUCCCGCCUGGGGAGUACGACCGCAAGGUUAAAACUCAAAUGAAUUGACGG